UGGAAUCCUAUUCCUAUGAAGGAAUUCUUCCUAUCCUCCACAUUUCAUAGGAAAAUAAACAUUAGCCUAGACUCAAUAAAAAAAAAUCCUAUGAUGUGAAUCAAAGGGUAUCUCCUUUCCUAUUCCUACUCAUAGGAUUUGAGAUACAUGUCAUCUCAUUUCCUAUGACUUUCCUAUUGCUAUGAUUUUCAUACACUAUGAACCAAAGAAGGCCUUACACUUUCACAGUCACAGUUACUCUUUCCCGAUCCCCUUUUUCCUUUACUCCGUUGACUCCAAAAUUGCUCCCACCAGAUGAGCUUGGUCGUCCUCAUGCGCAGCCACGGCAGCGGGUCGACUCGUUUGUGCUGCCGCAGGGUGACCAUCUAUGGUGGCUGGUUUGGCUCGUACAACUCCUUGAUCUCCUAGCAGGGUCCAAGGAGCAGCUGCGCAAGGGAGUAUGCGAAAUCAUGGUGUCUGUGCAGUUGAUUUUGGCGUGGAUUUCGUCUCCCGCAGCUAGAUUGGAUCCAACUCGAGUAAUAGGAUGCAGGCAACGGUGUGUUCCCUAGGUGCGAGGCAGACACAUCGUUUCUAUUCCCGGUCGAUGCAGCCCGGCACGUUGUCCUCCUCCUCCAGCCUGAAUAUUCUUCCAAAUUCGAACUUCGACUUGCAGAAAGAACGGCCACGCGGAUCCGGUUGGUGACAUGACUAUUCUUGGAAUAUAUACUAUUUCUCCCACAAUGUGUUCCUGAUAUUAUCUGUGCUUCGACGGAAUUUCUUCCACAUGAGGUCCUAUUGUUAUCCAUUUAUCAUUUAUCUUUUACUGUACUUUUUAUGAUCAGCCACUUUUUACAAAAAUAAUCUGUAUCAUUUUUUCGGCAUUUUUAUCAUGUUGCUUUGUAAUAUAUAUUUUUCUUUAGAAGAGUUACAAACAAUAUUAAAACCUGAAAACAGAUGACACAUUAGACAUGGGCAGCUAUUGAUGCUUGUACGGACAUGUUAGUCUAAACUUCAAAGAAUAUAAGUUAUACCAUGAAAACAGUGCCUGUGACAUUCACCUAACCUACCCGAAUGUUUCCUCUGUUUGUAAAUAUGAGGUAUAUUUCUUGCCUCAAACAGAUCAUAUUUCCCAUUUUCUUACAAAAUAAGAGUCCUGUUCCUUGUAUGCCCUAUUAUAUAUAUAGGUGCAAUGUAGUCACUAUGGGGGUAGCAGGGACAGUUUCCAUAUUUAGUCAUCAAUGGAUUAGGGACGGAUUGUAACACAUGACAAUACUGAGCUAGCUAAAUUACCAUGUAGACCCUCUGCCUAUUUUCUCAUUGUUGUUAUUUAUAGAAAACAGAACUGACUUACCAUAGUGAAGUGCUGACUUUGAGCAGUAAAAGUUGUCGGUUGGUGCAUGCUGUUAGGUUGAUCUCUUUCCGUGUGGGCCCAACGGCCCACCGGGCCCCUGAUCCGCGCCCUGAUCGGGGGCGCCCAACCACAAUAUGGUUGACGGGCCCCUGUCACGCAGCGCUACAUAAAGAGGUGGGGGCCGGCGGCACGCAGUACGAGGUUCACCGCGUUGCCAGUCUCCCCACCGAAAACCCCGACCCGAUCUAGGUCUAGCGCUGACAGUGACGGGAAGCUCCGCCGCCACUGCCUACACAUCGCCGCCACCUCCACCUUGCCCACUCUCCGCCAUCGCCGUGCGCUCCAGCACCACGAUGGCUUCCAGCUCGAGUUCGUCUUCUGCUGCACAAGAACAGCAGGAUUAUGGAUAGUUCCGAGAAGAGCGCCUCCCGAUCAUGGCUAUCAAUACUCUCGUUGUACUCGUCAAGUCCAACAUCCUAGUGCUAUAUCUCGGUCGGUGUCAAGGAAAUUUUCAACCUGGCCUGAUGGAUGAAGGUGUUUCCUACUUCUGUAUCUCUAUGGUGAUCAAGACUCAGUGAUCCAUGACAUGUAGGAUUUUGGUUCACUGCUCUCACAAAAAGGGGUAAACAUGCAUGGCGUGCCAUAAAUGGGUCUGGUUUGCAGGGAAGCAUUUUGUUGUCUGGCCAUUACUAUUGUCGUCACCUAUACAAAUCGGAACUGACCUGACAUGCUCGUCAUUCAUGGGUGAUUGUUGUCAUUAGCUCCACCCUUAUCAGCUUACCAAAUCUGAAGCCUCGCUUCUCUCCUGGAUUUGCAUGUUGGUGGAUGGAUGUAUGCGUUCAGCAAAGCACAGAGGCAGAAGACCACCAGCCCAAUCUUGACUCACAAAAAUCUGCAUAGGCACAACUCCAUUAUGCAUUACAAUAUGACAGCAUGCUUUAGCCUCAUCAAUCUUUGUAAAGUUUGUGGAUGGACAUUUAGUUUGUUUUGAUAACUAAAGGGGAAAACCUUUGGCGACAUGAGAGCAAAGCGAGGGAUAAAGGAUUACAUUGUAUUGCACUA